GAGAGAGAGAGAGAGAGAGAGAGAGAAAGAGAGAAAGAGAGAGAGAGACAUACAUACAUGCAGACAGAAACACAAGGUAUCUGAUUAUAGUCUUGUUGCAUGUAUUUGCUAACUGCCUGUUAACUUUUUCUUAUCCGGGCUGGUCUGUUUUAAAUCGCAGCGCUUCUUCGUCUUGUUUCAUAUUGCAAUAAGUUUUAAUGAAGAAAAUAGAAAACAUGGAUCUUUCUAUGUUUACACCACCAGUCUCGUUCCUACGUUCGUGUUAUUUCACUAGUAUUGGGAGUAAAUGUUAUUUCAUAUUAUUGAUAAUUUGACAAGAAUCUUGGGUUGUUUUGUGUUGUUUUUUUACUUCAGACCCUGUUGUAGGCAAGAGAGCGACCUCGUGCAAAGCUGACCACGACUGUCACCCACCUGUAUGUGGUAACAGCCAUCAAGGAGUCUGUCAGAACGGACAGUGUGAUUGUAACGCCCCACGAGUAAGUCACAAUCAGGUCAACUGUACCACAAACGACGAGUGUGUGACCGCCUGUGGUAAGGACCAUGCCAAGUGUCAUGACGACAUGCUCUGUCACUGCCACCUGGCCUGAGUGGUCAGUCAACAGACAGACACCAGACGGGGAGAGAGCUGGGCGAGUUUAUUCACAAGGACAGCGACUGCGGAUAAUAAAUAGCGAUUUAUCUCUUGUUUCUGAAUACAUCACUAAAGGCUUUGACUCAUAUUUAAAUUCCAAAUGUUAAAAAAGCAAGAAAAUGUACGACUGCGUAGUUAAACCAAUGAAACAGUUUAUAUUCUUUUUCUUUUAAAAUGUUGCUUUCUAGACAGUGAUAUUGCAUAGUAUUCAAAGAUUUCUCUCUUGUCUCUGAUUACACCAAGGAAGGCAUUGGCUCAUGGAUAUGCAGUUGAAAAGUAGACGGUAUAAAACAGCAAUGAUUUCUACUAAAACUGCUGCAUGAGGAAAAAAAAAUAAAGAAAUGAUUUCAUAAA